rnacentral:rRNA from 1 species
AACGUAGGUUCCGAGCGUUAUCCGGAUUUACUGGGCGUAAAGCGCGUUCAGGCGGUUUGGCAAGUCGGGCAUGAAAUCUCUCGGCUCAACCGGGAGAGGUUGUCCGAUACUGCUGGACUUGAGGGCAGUAGAGGGUGGUGGAAUUCCGGGUGUAGUGGUGAAAUGCGUAGAUAUCCGGAGGAACACCAGUGGCGAAAGCGGCCACCUGGACUGUACCUGACGCUGACACGCGAAAGCGAGGGGAGCGAACGGG